rnacentral:rRNA from 1 species
GACGAACGCUGGCGGCGUGCUUAACACAUGCAAGUCGAACGAUGAACCCGGAGCUUGCUCCGGUGGAUUAGUGGCGAACGGGUGAGUAACACGUGAGUAACCUGCCCUUGACUCUGGGAUAACUGCGGGAAACUGUAGCUAAUACCGGAUACGACCCUCGGCGGCAUCGCCAGGGGGUGGAAAGAAUUUCGGUCAAGGAUGGACUCGCGGUCUAUCAGCUAGUUGGUGAGGUAACGGCUCACCAAGGCGACGACGGGUAGCCGGCCUGAGAGGGUGACGGGCCACACGGGGAAUGAGACACGGCCCAGACUCCUACGGGAGGCAGCAGUGGGGAAUUUUGGACAAUGGGGGCAACCCUGAUCCAGCAAUGCCGCGGGAGUGAAGAAGGCCUUCGGGUUGUAAAGCUCUUUUGUCAGGGAAGAAACACCGGCUCUAACACAGUCCGGGAAUGACGGUACCUGAAGAAUAAGCACCGGCUAAC